rnacentral:rRNA from 1 species
AUGUAUAGCGAGAGCUAAUUGCAUUAACUAUAGUUAGUGUAAUAUCGACUAUGUCGAAUAAAAUUCUAGGUAGGGUCGUGAUAAUGACAUACUCUAUCUUUGUCUUGACCAAAUUACGUGCCAGCAGUCGCGGUAAUACGUAGAAGACUAGUGUUAUUCAUCUUUAAUAGGUUUAAAGGGUACCUAGACGGUAAUUCAAGCCCGAAAAGGGGUACUAUAUUACUAGAGUUUGUAUGUAAAGGGAUUGUCUUUUUAUAAGAAUGCAAGUUAGUUUCUUGCCCUAAUCGAGAACUAUCCUCUCUUCUUAUCAUAAAGAUGAUGUAAAAUGUACCAGCGAUGUAGAGAUGAAAUUUUGUAAUAUCGAAGGGUGCACAGGUUAAGGCGAAAGCGUUCCCUUAUGUAAUAACUGACGUUGAGGGACGAAGGCUAUUAAUAGCAAAAGGGAUUAGGUACCCCAGUAGCUGUAGCAGAAAAUGAUGAAUGUCAUAGAUUAGGAUAGUUGUUUAUCGUCUAGAAGAAAUCAAAGUAUAUGAUUACUAUUAUUGAUUACAAUAGUUGUUUAUGACUUAUACAAUGAAAGUAUGGAAGGCUUGUUUAAGUAAAUAAUUUUUAUUUUUGGUCUAUAAAUGAAAGUGUAAGCAUUCCACCUCAAGAGUAAUUUGGCAACAUUGGAACUGAAAUCAUUAGACCGUUUCUGAAACCAGUAAUGAAGUAUGUUGUUUAAUUAGAUAGUCCGCAAAGAACCUUACCACAGUUUGAAUAUUUCUACAAGUGUUGCACGGUUGUCUUCAGUUAAUGUCGUGAGACUUGGUUAGUUCCAUUUAAUUAACGUAAACCCUUGCUUUAUUUAUUUAUAAAGUAGUUCGCCACCAUAUUGGAGAUGAUAAUAGGGACUAAGGCAAGCC